rnacentral:misc_RNA from 1 species
GUGGGUCCUGAUGGAAUUCAACAGCAGCAGAUAGGCCUCCAUAUGGACAGCCUUCAUGCAUCCGAUGUGAACUGGAAGAUUUCUUUAUCACAGCACCAAGCAAUGGUAAGAGGAUUGCAUUUUGGUAAUGCAGACAUUCAGAAAUAUCCCCAGCAGAUGUUUGAAGGGGUUAUGAAUCAAAAUAGUGUGCCAACAUCGAUUUCUGCGGCACAGCCAGGUGUAAGGUUUGGUCCCAAGGAAGAACAGUUUGAGACAGGAAAGCUGGAUGGCUCAGAGCUAAGUCAGGGUAAAAGUGAUGUAACAGAUUCAGAAACAGGCCAUCUGGAUCCACAGCAGUCACGGCUACAGCAAAGAUUACCAUCUCAUCACAUGAGAUCAAAUUUCUCUCAGUCAGCAUGGAGCAAUCUCAGCCAAGAGUCAAGGAAGGAGGAACAACUCCAGAAGAGGAAACCAGUGCAGAGUCCCCGGUUGUCUGCUGGGGCUUUGCCUCAAUCACCAUUAUCAUCAAAAUCCGGGGAAUUUUCUAGCGGCUCUGCCGGUCCCCACUUUGGAUCGGUUGCAGCCAAUGCUGCAGUUGGAUCAUCACAAAAGGAGAAGUCAGCUGUCACCUCAGUUCCUACUGUUGGUGGAACCCCAUCUUUGACUUCCAAUGCUAAUGAUUCCUUGCAAAGACAACAACAUCAGGCCCAGGUUGCAGCAAAGCGAAGAUCUAAUUCCCUCCCAAGAACGCCAAUGAUGAGUGGGAUUGGCUCUCCUGCAAGUGUUAGUAACAUAAGUGUUCCAUUAAAUGCAGCUAGUCCUUCAGUUGGAACUCCAUCAAUCCAUGCUUGAAAGGUUCUCAAAGAUUGAGGUGGUGACUAUGAGGCAUCAACUCAACUGCAAGAAAAAUAAGAUUGAUGACUACUCUGUCAGGAAACCCAACACAUAUUCACAUCAAAAUCUUAUGGGUUAUCUCUCUAGUUUACCCAAUAGUGAGGAUGUGAAGGAUGAUGCUAGUGCAAGACAAUUAUCAAAGUCAAUUGUAGGUGGCAGCAUGAAUGUCUGCAAGAU